rnacentral:rRNA from 1 species
GACGAACGCUGGCGGCGUGCUUAACACAUGCAAGUCGAACGGAAAGGCCCUGCUUUUGUGGGCUGCUCGAGUGGCGAACGGGUGAGUAACACGUGAGUAACCUGUCCUUGACUUUGGGAUAACUUCAGGAAACUGGGGCUAAUACCGGCUAGGAGCUCCCGCUGCAUGGUGGGGGUUGGAAAGUUUCGGCGGUUGGGGAUGGACUCGCGGCUUAUCAGAUUGUUGGUGGGGUAGUGGCUUACCAAGGCUUUGACGGGUAGCCGGCCUGAGAGGGUGACCGGCCACAUUGGGACUGAGAUACGGCCCAGACUCCUACGGGAGGCAGGAGUGGGGAAUAGUGCACAAUAGGCGGAAGGCUGGUGCAGCAACGCCGCGUGGGGGAUGACGGCCUUCGGGUUGUAAACCGCUUUCGCCUGAGACGAAGCGUGAGUGACGGUAAUGGGUAAAGAAGCACCGGCUAACUACGUG